rnacentral:lncRNA from 1 species
ACCCCGACACGUGGCAAAAAUCUACAUGUCAGAAUUAAAUCCUACAGCCUCGGUUCACAUUUUCGAUACGAUGCCUGACACCAGAUCCUCCUACUGAUAUGACGGCUCGAAAGUGAUAAAAUGACUGUUCGACCGUACUCCAACGAAACUGGUGUCAGAGUCAAGAUUCGAUGUGACAGACAACAACUCCUUUCGUCCAAGGUAAUUAACCACGUGAUAACGCACGCGAUGAUUCACCAUUGGACUCGAGAGUGGGGGACAACUGUUGGAGUAAACCGACCGACCACCAUAAACCGACCGAUCUCCGACACACACCGACCGACGUCCGAUUCUGACCCACCAAACGAACAGACAAUUCUGAAAAUGACUACCGACUAUAUGUCAGCUGAACAGGCCGACACUGCUUUCAACCAACCGACCGAACCCCCUUUACUGACUUGGUAUCGGUAAGCAGCCGAUGUUCGGACUCUACAGAUAAUGUU